AAUUCUCUCAAAACAUGCACUUGAGUGAUUGUGUGUUUUGGAUUGUUGGGAGUCUGCUGGUUUUGGGCCAGCUCUCCUUAAAAACAUUAGCUUUGGGAGGGAUGUGCUGAGUCACUUCUGCCAUUCUAUUGGUGUGAUAGAUUAACGUUUAUAUCUACACCAGGUUUGCAGGUGUCACGCAUUUUUAAUCUCUCUGCUCUCUAAUCCGGAGACUCCUUUGUCUCUUCUGAAAAC
rnacentral:misc_RNA from 1 species